GGAAAAGGAAGAUCGACUAAGACCGCCGCUUUGCGCGGCAACGUCGACCUACCCGCGAUACGCGGG
rnacentral:sRNA from 1 species